UACGAAGGGGGCUAGCGUUGUUCGGAAUUACUGGGCGUAAAGCGCGUGUAGGCGGGUCCUUAAGUCAGGGGUGAAAUGCCAAGGCUCAACCUUGGAACUGCCUUUGAUACUGGGGAUCUUGAGUCCGGGAGAGGUGAGUGGAACUGCGAGUGUAGAGGUGAAAUUCGUAGAUAUUCGCAAGAACACCAGUGGCGAAGGCGGCUCACUGGCCCGGUACUGACGCUGAGGCG
rnacentral:rRNA from 1 species